CGGAGGAACAAUUCUCCAAGGUGGGGUGCUGCACCCCGCCCCCUCUACUUUCGGUCCCGCCUCGUCCACGCUUCUGAUGAAUUCUGGGAAUCGUAGUUCGAGGCUCUCCGUGAGCAACCUUUGUGAGCAUUUGAUUACGGUUUGAGCCGGACAUUUUAAUUUAAUUUGGGGGGGAGCAGAUGAGGAAACUGAGGCAGACAGGGUUAAGUGACUUGCCCAAGGUCACAGCACUGAAAUCCCUGACAUUCCAGGAUGUGACUGUGGACUUCUCCCAGGAGGAAUGGGGGCUGCUGGAGCCAGCUCAGAAGGACAUGUACAGGGACAGGUUGCAGGAGAACUAUGAGAACUUUGUCUCCCUGGUCUCAUCAGAAAUGUAAUCUGGACAGAAGUCAAACAAAAGUUGGUCAAAAAUAUAGUCAGAAGUCAGUCCUUGUUGUACAACAUCAAUUUCCUAAAACCAACUUCAAACAGUUUUUAGAUGUAUGUGAAUAUAAUGGAACUGCUCUAUGUAACUUUAUAAUAAGGACAAGAAACCCUUCACUCACCAUUCAAACUGUAUUCAUAACUGUGGAAUAUAUAGUUAAGGAAAACACCUUAAACAUCAUGAAUCUGGCAAAGCUUUUAAUAUCAAUUCAUGCCAUCUAGUACAUCAAAGAAUUCAUACUGAAGAGAAGCCAUUUGGAUGUAAUGAAUAUGGAAAAAACUUAGGCAAUAAACAAAACCUAAUUGCACAUCAAAUAAAUCAUAUUGGAAAGAAACCUUUUAAAUGUAAUGAGUGUGGGAAAGCCUUUAACAGUAAUCAAGUCUUAUCUCAACAUCAAAGAAUUCAUACUGGAGAGAAACCAUUUGAAUGUGAUGAAUGUGGAAAGUCAUUCAGCCAAAAGGGAAACUUGCAUAAACAUCAGAGAAUUCAUAGUGGAGAGAAACAUAAGAAAAUUCACAGUGGAAAGAAGCCAUAUGUGUGUAAUAAAUGUGGCAAAAGCUUCAGCUCUAAACAGCUUCUUGAAAUCCAUAAGAUAUUUCAUUCUGGAAAGAAGCCCUUUGAAUGCAAUGUAUGUGGUAGAGCCUUCCACAAUAAACAUUACUUAGGAAAACAUAAAAAAAUUCAUAGUGGAGAAAAACCAUAUAAAUGUAAUAAAUGUGGAAAAGCUUUCAGAGAGAAGGGCAGCCUUGAAAAACAUGAUGGUUCAUACAGGUGAGAAACCCUUUGAAUGUAGUAAAUGUAGGAAGGCCUUCAGCAGUAAUAGGUACCUAAUUCAACAUCAAAAAACUCAUACUGGAGAGAAAUCCUACAAAUGUAAUGAAUGUGGAAAAGCCUUUACCAGUAAUAGCUAUAAAAUUGAGCAUCAAAAAAUUCACACUACAGAAGAACCUUAUAAAUGUAUUGAAUGUGGAAAAGCCUUCAGUAGUAAUAGGAAUCUAAUUCAACAUCAAAGAAUCCAUACUGGAGGGAAACCAUGUAAAUGCAAUGAACUUGAGAAAGUCUUCAGCAAUAAUAGGUACUUAAUUCAACAUCAAAGAAUACAUACUGGAGAGGAGGUCUAUAAAUGUAAAGAAUAUGGGAAAGCUUUCAGCAGUAAUAACUAUAUAAUUGAACAUCGAAGAAUACAUGCUGGAGAGAAGCCCUUUAAAUGUAAUGAAUGUGGGAAAGCUUUUGUAAGUAAUCAAAAACUGUUGUGACAUCAAAGAAGCCACACUGGAGAGAAUCCCUAUAAAUGUCAUGAAUGUGGGAAAGGCCUCAGCACUAAAAUGUACCUAAUUCAACCUCAAAGAAUUCAUACAGGAGAGAAGCCCUAUAAAUGUAAUGAAUAUGGGAAAACCUUCAUCAGUAAUAAACAGCUUUCCCGACAUCAAAAAAUUCUAACCACAGAGAAGCCUUAUAAAUGUGAUGAGUAUGGAAAAAUUUUCUGUACCAAUUCUUUCCUUAAAGCACAUAAAGUUCUAGUGAGCAUUUCCAUGAAUGUACCCAAACUUGGAGAAACAUAAACAUAUAUUAUAUUCUGAGAUAUGUGUCAACUUUGGGUUGGAACGUAAUGAGUCCAUUGGUAGGAACAACAUCUAAGCUAUAUAUACUAAGCUAGCUUUUCCUCUAAAAAGACAAAGAAACUGACCUUGAGACUUCAUUGGUCCAAGGGACUAAGUCUCAAACUCAUGAGAGUACAUUGGUCACCUAAGACAAAGGUGUCAGUUACAAAGCCCAUCCAUGAUAUUCUCAAGUGAACCUGAACUAUAUUCAGAUAUAAUUGGGUAGGGCAAAUAGGUGCUAUAGUGGAUAGUCAGGCCUGGAGUCCAAAGGACACAGGUUCAAGUCUGCCUCAGUCAACUAGCUGUGUAUCUCGGAGCAAGUCACUUAACCUUAUUUACCUAGCUCUUGCCCUGCUGUCCUAGACCUGUUACUAGGACAGAAAGCAAGGAUUUUAAAAGAUGUAAUUGAUAAAUAUUUGACAAAAAUAAAAUCUAAUUAAACAUAGAUUAUAUUAACAUGGUUUUCUGCAUUAGUGUUGUGUAAAAGAUUGUAAGAGAAUAAGACUACAGAAAACCAGGAGAAACAAAUGCAAUGAAUAGAAACUUGGAGAUCUGUCCAUCAAGGAAGAAUUCCAGGGAAGAAUGUGACCUGGAGAACUAAGUUAAACAGGAACACACAAGCUUCUUCUGGGAACUCUUUUUCUUGACACUCAAAGGAAGAAGAGCUCAGGAGUUUUCUCUAUCUGUGGCCUGUUUAUUUUCUCUCUGAAACCCUGACAAUUGACUCUGAAGACCUUUGAAACCUGUUAACAGCAUCCCUCUUAUCGGACUAUAUAAUUUAGUUACCCAAUUUAAGACUUUAUUUUAGAGUCUCACCUAGCCAACUCCUGUUUCCCCUCCUUCCUUAAAAUAAACCCCUGUUAUUAA